CCAGUAGUCAUAUGCUUGUCUCAAAGAUUAAGCCAUGCAUGUCUCAGUACAAGCCAAAUUAAGGUGAAACCGCGAAAGGCUCAUUAAAUCAGUUAUGGUUCCUUAGAUCGUACCCACAUUUACUUGGAUAACUGUGGUAAUUCUAGAGCUAAUACAUGCAAACAGAGCUCCGACCGGAGACGGAAGGAGCGCUUUUAUUAGAUCAAAACCAAUCGGUGGCGGGUCUCCCGUCACCGUACACCUUGGUGACUCUGAAUAACUUAUUGCUGAUCGCACGGUCUCGCACCGGCGACGCAUCUUUCAAAUGUCUGCCUUAUCAACUGUCGAUGGUAGGUUCUGCGCCUACCAUGGUUGUAACGGGUAACGGGGAAUCAGGGUUCGAUUCCGGAGAGGGAGCCUGAGAAACGGCUACCACAUCCAAGGAAGGCAGCAGGCGCGCAAAUUACCCACUCCCGGCACGGGGAGGUAGUGACGAAAAAUAACGAUACGGGACUCAUCCGAGGCCCCGUAAUCGGAAUGAGUACACUCUAAACCCUUUAACGAGGAUCAAUUGGAGGGCAAGUCUGGUGCCAGCAGCCGCGGUAAUUCCAGCUCCAAUAGCGUAUAUUAAAGUUGUUGCGGUUAAAAAGCUCGUAGUCGAAUUUGUGUCCCGCGCCGCCGGUUCAUCGCUCGCGGUGUCAACUGGCGUGUCCGCGGGACGUCCUGCCGGUGGGCUUAGCCCCCCGUGGGCGGCCCAAUCUCAAUCCCACCGCGGUGCUCUUCACUGAGUGUCGAGGUGGGCCGGCACGUUUACUUUGAACAAAUUAGAGUGCUUAAAGCAGGCUAAAACAUCGCCUGAAUACUGUGUGCAUGGAAUAAUGGAAUAGGACCUCGGUUCUAUUUUGUUGGUUUUCGGAACCCCGAGGUAAUGAUUAAUAGGAACGGAUGGGGGCAUUCGUAUUGCGACGUUAGAG
rnacentral:rRNA from 7 species